CGGCAGGGUCUCGAGAGAGGUGGGUGUGGAGGAGGAAGGAUGUGCUUGUGUACGACGCUGGGUGGGGGCAUCUUUGGCCAUGCGUGUGAGUUUGUCUGCUGUGAUGCUGUGUGUGUGUGCACCAUUGCACUGUGUGUGUGCACCAGAGAGCUGCCUGAGGCCCGAGCCACAGCAGUGGACGCACCUUGGGGAGAAUGACAGACAGGACACUGGCGCAAACCUAACAGGGCAAUGAUUUUUUCUCUACCGUCUGCCAGGCAGGAUUCUCUUAGCACUCUCAUUUAUAAAUUUUUCAGCUUUAAUGUUUUAAUUAUUUAAAAUGCAAAUAGGUUCAAGGAGAAAGCAGCAGAAAAUACAAAUUCCCUCAACAAAUUCCUUGUGCAGGGGCUACAGGGCUGCAGGUGCAGGCGCUGUCCCACCACGAGGGGCUGUGUCCUGAGAGCUGGGGUGCUCCUGAGCUCGGGGGCCAGGUCCUCUCAGAAGGUGAUCGGCUUGGAUGGGACGAGGCAGGUCUGAUGUAGACGACAGAGGACAAGGGCCCUGUAAUAAACACACCUGCAGUUGGGAGACUGAGCAUAUGUGGAAUACACGCCAUGGGGAAAGCCGGCAGCAUCGUGGAGCGUCAGUGCUCAGCAGACCUGGCUGUGCUCCCAUCCAUACUCUCCACAGACCUGUGCACGGCUGACUCGCCACCCACCGCCCUGCACCCCCAGAUGGCCAAACCUCCUCCGGCAGACAGAGCUUCCUCUCCUUUCUCUUUCUCUCUGAGGCAGUGAUUCCACAGGGAAGGGUAACCACCCGGUCCCUCUCCCGUGACGACUCACAGACACCAGUGCCUCAGGUUUGCAUCCCAGUAGAUGAAAAACAACAGCACAGGCUGGACACGGUGGCUCACGCCUGUAAUCCCAGCAGUUUGGAAGGCUCCCGGUAAAUGAAAAACAACAACACAGGCUGGACAUGGUGGCUCACGCCUGUAAUCCCAGCACUUUGGGAGGCUCCCAGUAGAUGAAAAACAACAGCACAGGCUGGACACGGUGGCUCACGCCUGUAAUCCCAGCGGUUUGGGAGGCCGAGGUAGGCGGAUCACCUGAGGUCAGGAGCUCGAGACCAGCCUGGCCGACAUGGUGAAACCCUGUCUCUACUAAAAAUACAAAAUUACUGGGCAUGGUGGGGCAUGCCUGUAAUCCCAGCUACUUGGGAGGCUGAGGCAGGAGAAUCACUUGAACCUGGGAGGUGGAGGCUGCAGUGAGCCGAGAUGGCGCCAUUGCACUCCAGCCUGGGUGACUGAGCAAGACUCUGUCUCAAACAUCAACAACAGCAAAACCAGCACAGCCUCAGGGACCACAGGAAGGGAGAGGCCUGAGGCCUGUCAUUUCAGGAAACACCUGAUCAUUGGCGGUGGGGCCUUGAGCUACACAUGUGAGACUGAAAUGUGGACCUGAGAGGCGUGAGGGUCAGCAGUGUAGGGACUGUCACGGGGCCGGAGACUCCAACAGAUGCCGGCGCAGGGGGUCAGCACCCAGUAGGGGAGCCUCCUGUUGGUGGCCCCUGCUGUUCCUGGCUCUGUGCUCAUCCCACCCUCAGAUGCCCCUGGAGGAGUGAAGGAGCUGGCAGGGUGCACACACUCAGCCAGGCCGUGGUGGGUCCUGCUCCCAUGCUGUAUGCUUCCUUGGCUGUCUGGGAGACUCUGGAGAAGGAAGUGCAUACGGGACUGGCCCCUGAAGAAUGGGGUCUUCAACAAGUAAGGACAGGCGGCUGCAGGCCUCAAGUCCUCCAUCCCUGGUGCCUCCUGACUCUGUCCCAGGGCCCUGGAAGGGCUGGGGACUCCCAGGGCACAGGCAGCAUCCAUGGGCAGAGGCUCUUCUGUCCCCUCUCAUGAGCUUCAGGGACCAUCUUCUCUUGUACACGACAGUGAGAAAAUGCAAAAGCAAAUUGCAGGUGUGUGCAUUUCUUCUGGGGAGGCCUAGACUUGGCUCAAAUUUACAAGUUUGUGAAGAGAGAGAAGAAAGAAAGAGAGAGAGAUGAGAGCCAUGUCUUCUGUUUUCUGUGAGCUCUGUCCAUUACUCUGCAGCCUAAAAGCACCCCCAUUAGGGAGCUUCCCCUCCACGCCUCCCUCUGUGUUAAAGCCAGAGGUUUACCCAGGGCAUUCAGCAGUCCACCCCUAGCAUGGAGAGGAGCGGGCCUACAGGCACCAGCUUCUCCACGCUGUUCCAAGAAAUGGAAAAGAUACGGGAUUUGGAGGCUAAGACCCAGAUUCACAUCCUGACUUCCUGAAUGUGGGAAAUUCAGCAAAUCUCCCGGAGCCAAAGUUCUUCAUUUGUAAAAUGGGCAAAUUUAACCCAGCUUUGAGCAAAGAGAAAGUGAUAGAAAUAGGAAUCCUUGUCACCUGGGAGCGUUCCUGAGGUUGGAUGAAGGGGUUUACCUGUGGGAGGGUGUGAUGGGAGGGAGGGCAGGGCCACUGGCCCCCUUCCCGCAGAGCCCCGGAGCCCUUCUGUCCUGGCCACGUGGCAGCACCCACGGGGGGACACACAUGCGGCUGAUAUACAUUUAACGGUCCAGUGCCUGUUAUAAAAGCUCUUGCACACUAAGAAUGAACUUCUAUGCAUCAUUGGGGUUCCAAGGUAUGCUGGAUAGAAGAAAGAUGCAAAAUACCAAAAAUGUUCCAUUUUUCUGAUUUUUCCCAUAGUUUAGACGUGGAUUUUCUUUAUGCCAGCCCCAGUGUAAGGUUUUCUCACCUCCAGCAUCUCAGAUGCAAAUGCCUCUUCUCCCUCCACCUUCCACCCUAAGCCUCUCUCCCUGACCCGAGACCACUUUUCCAGUUUGACUUGAAACUCCAGAUGUGGCUUGGACAUAGGCUGUUUAAGUGGUAUAAGCUGCCUGCUUUUCAGAAUUUGCUAAUGGUUGAACUUAAUUGAUUGGCAAAUUUAAUUUGAAUUAGAAAUAUACUCUGCCCUGGGCCAGGCACCGUGGCUCAUGCCUGUAAUCCCAGCACUUCGGGAGGCUCAGGUGGGUGGAUCACGGGGUCAGGAGUUCAAGACCAACCUGACCAACAUGUCGAAACCCUGUCUCUACUAAAAAUACAAAAAUUAUCACAGCAUGGUGGCACGCGCCUGUAGUCCCAGCUAUUCUGGAGGCUGAGGCAGGAGAAUCGCUUGAACCUGGGAGGCGGAGGUUGCGGUGAGCCGAGAUUGUACCGCUGCACUCCAGCCUGGGCUACAGCACAAGACUCCAUCUCAAAAAAAGAAAAGAAAAGAAAUAUAGUCUGCCCUGGUCACUUGGUCAACACAGCCAUUUCAUCAACUUUUCAAUGAGGACAGUGCACAUUAUAAAUGGCGGAAGAUAACUCCGGGCUGGUGCCCCCGAUGCUUCGUUCUGCAUCAUUAUUUCCUUUUUGCUACAUGCUCUCUCUGCAGGAGGCUGUGGGACAGGAGAGAGCCAUGUGCCUUCGGAACCCUUAGAUACAGGUCAAUAGUAAAGCAGGGCGAGGACCUGGGAGAAAACUGUGGGGCUGAAGAGCCCUGGAAGAAGGCUUUAGCGGCUUUGGUGCUAAAAUAUUCUCUUUUAAAGUCUUUUAAAGAGCAGGGGAAAAUUGUCUCUGUGAACUGACCCAAGCUGGUUUGCAUUUGUGUGAGCGUCAGGUCCUGAAGGAAACUGGUCCUCAUCAUAAAUCUGGUUCAAUUUUCUUUAACUUUCACUGUGUGCAUCCUUCCUCCUUUCUGAGCAAGGGGUUUCUUAGUCCAUAAUCACCACAUUAAGAUAGAAACACAGUGGCAAAGUGGAAACUUCAGUCUCUGUGGAAAUGGGCAUUUUAAAAAGAAGUGGUAGAAAUGGGAAGCCUUGUCACCUGGGAGCGUUCCUGAGGUUGGUUGAAGGGGUUUACCUGUGGGAGGGUGUGAUGGGAGGGAGGGCAGGGCCACUGACCCCCUCCUCCCUGCUGACCCCCGGAGCCCCGGAACCCCGGAGCCCUUCUGUCCUAGCCAUUUGGCAGCACCCACAGAGGGACACACAUGCAGCUGACAUACAUUUAACGGUCCUAAUGGGUUUGAGCAGAAGUCAGGGUAUUAUGAAAGGAAGUUCAUGUAUUAGUGUACCUUGUCUUUGAGUCAGAACUCUGGAAAAUAUGGAUUUGUAGAGCAGAUGGAGAUCAGGUAGUUAUUGGCUGUAGUAAACACAGAUCAUUGUUUAUAGUAAACAUGCUUUGUCCAUCAGAGAUAGACUGGAUAAUGAAAAUGUGGCACAUAUACACCAUGAACUACUAUACAGCCAUAAAAAGGAGUGAGAUCCUGCCCUUUGCAGGGAUGUAGACGGAGCUGGAAGCUGUUAUCCUCAGCAAACUAAUGCAGGAACAGAAAACCAAAUUUAAGAACCACAUGUUCUCACUUAAAAAUGAGAGCUGAACGAUAAGAACACACGGACACAUGGAGGUGGGAACAACACACAUUGGGGCCUGUGGGGGCCGGGGGGAAGGAGAGGAUCAGGAAGAAUAGCUAAUGGAUGCUGGGCUUAAUACCUAGGCGAUAGGAUGGUCUGUGCAGAAAACCACCAUGCCACACAUUUACCCAUGUAACAAACCUGCACAUCCUGCACGCGAACCCCAGAACUUAAAAUAAAAGCUGAAGGAAAAAUUAAAAAGACAUGUUUUGUCCUAGUGUGCGCUGUAAUCUCAGCUACUCUGGAGGCUGAGGAGGGAGGGCUAUUUGAGCCCAGGAGGUCCAGUCCAGCCUCAGCAACAUAGCAGGACCCCAAUCUCUCUCUCUCUCUCUCUCUCUCUCUCUCUCUCUCUGUCUCUCUCUCAAAGAAGAAGAAGGAAGAGGAGGAGGAGGAGGAGGAGGAGGAGGAAGAGAAGGAGUUGAAGUUUUGAAACCGGACUUGAACUCCACAGAAGGAUUUUUGAGUCCAAUUCACUGAAUGGGCUUCAGAAUCAUAAAGAAACAUUGACUUUUGAUAUCCACCCAUUACUAUUUUACCAGAUAUAGAAUUAAUGAUGAAACAUCUGCCAAGCAACUAUUUUAAUCCUGUUAAGUUGGUAGAAAGAUGAAAAAAAAAAUCUACUAGAAACCAAAUCUGGUUUUUCACAGCAAUGAAAAUCAGUGUUUUACAUAAAGGCACAGUGAGUCCUGCCCCCCGGAUAAAGCCAAAUUCAGCCCAGAAAGGUUAUCUCAGGCGGGCACUUAUGGUGCUUUUCUCUAAAUUUUCACUUCAAUUAAUCUCUAGAAAUUUGGUGUCUGAUCCCCGUGACAGAAGCCUCUGGCUUCUUCAGAGUGACUGCCGAGGAAAAAUUAUCUGACACAUAUCAAACACGCAAGAAACCACACUGGACAGCAUUAAUCAAAACUUUCUCAUUUCCCGAAGAAUUAAGCAUUAAAUAAUUAAUCCCAGCACUACAGGCAGCUGUAAAAGAGGCCUCAUGCCUCCCUGCUGGUAGGAAUUUGUCCUUGUCUAAAAGACUAGAUUGAUAUAUUUAUUAUUUAUCAGAUUAAUCAUGGCCAGGAACAUUAUAGAUUGGCAGCCCAGCCCAGCCGGGGAUGGCGUCUGGCCCUUAUCAGAGCAGAGAGGCUCCCACUGACACCGCAUGCAGAGGGUGGAGGGAGCAGCUGCCCUCCAGCCUUUCCUGCGAAGGAAAAGGUGUUUAAAACAUUAUCUUAAAAAGAGAGCGAGAGAAAAAAGGAAAGUCAAAGAAGAGAGCUGAUGAGGAAGAUACCAUUGACCUGGGGCCAGAGGAAAGGCCCAGGGGUCGUGGGAGAGCCGUGGGCCGUGGGCCGUGGGCCGGAAUUUCAAGGGACGCUAUGAAGCCAAGAUCAUGAGCUGUGAGUCCGAGCUCCAGCGGCUCCAUGUGUAUGUCAAUCAACGCUGCCUUCUUGACUUGGAACCCUUCACAUCCCCUAACCUCGCCCUUCAGUGGCCCCGACCACCACUCCCUGCAGGCAGCUGCUGUCUCAUUUUUGGCUGAUCUUUUUUUGCAAGGCUGGGUUGCCACACAGCUGUCCUGGCUGUCCUGGGGGCUGAGCGCAUCUGACUGAAGACAGGAGAGAGCAGACGUCAGGGAAGAGCCCUUCUCCAUGCCUGUGAAUUGUGGUGGCUCUCAUUUCAUUGUUGAGAUACUUAUUUCAUCAGAACAAGGGUUUUCUAAUCAAGCAAAUCCAAAUGUCCAGGAUUUCUACUCAGAUUUGAACAGCAAGAACAGUUCAUGGAGGUAGAGAAUAGCACCCAAGCAGAGAAGGGCGUGAAACCUUUCAAUCUCAUGAUUGAUUCACAGACAUUUUAAGGAAAAAGGGGUUCGCUUGGGUAAAUAAAUUCGGGAAACUCUGGGUAAAUUGGCUUAAAUGGGCUGCCUUUCUGCAGGACUGCUCAGAGCCUUCUUAAGGCUGGAUGGUUUUGUGGGACCCUCGACGGCUUUACGUAAGCAAUGCUUCCCCACUGGGGCCCAAGAACACACGUUCAGACCCCGGCCUGGAGACUUCAAUCCCUCAAACAUGGCAGCCUCUCCAGCCUCCCCCUCCAACCCCAGCCACCUUCUGGCACAGGGUCUGAGUGAGGCAGGUCAGAGACUGGGAAGAGGCCAGGACGGUCUGACCACACCCUCUGUCCACUUAAGGAUGCUGUCAUUCUGGAAAGGCAGUUGAUUCACUUGUUAGUAGCGAGGAGGCCAGUCUGGAGGGGUCGAAGGACACACACUUUGGUUGACAGAAGGCGGCUCUCCCAGCCCUUCACACAGUCCCUGGGGCAACUCCACGAGUCCGAGAUGGAAAACUCUCCAUUUUACUUUCCUUAGUAAAACUUACCAAGGAAUGUUAUUGAUACGUAUAAAUAGAUUUAUGUACUAAAUAACUAUACAUGUUUAUUGAAAAUGAUUAUGUGAAUAAUUCAUGCAGAAUAAACUUUAUUUUCUUAGAAUAAAAUCGACUGACCUUGAAUUACUCAAAUAGUGGCUUCAGGUUUGCUGUGUGAAUGUGGAUCUCACCCCCAGCCUCUUCCAGGACUCCCUCCCUUGACCACCUCCCUCCCCUGACCACUCCCCUCCCCUGACCAGCUCUCCUCCCCUCACCACCUCCCUCCCCUCACCACCUCCCUCCCCUCACCACUCCCCUGCCCUGACCACCUCCGUCUCCUGACCACCUCCCUCCCCUCACCACCUUCCUCCUCUCACCACCUUCCUCCUCUCACCACCUCCCUCCCCUCACCACCUCCCUCCCCUCACCACUCUCCUGCAGGCACAGGUCUGCCCACCAUGAGUCCGUGAUAGCAGCCACAAGCCAGUUACAGCGUUGGACCCAUGCCCCCCUUCUGUUCUGCUAACGGUCAACACUGGGCCAACCGUGGAAGACUCCAAGCCGCCCAUUCCUGGGGUCAGAAGCAUGCAGGUGUGAGCGGCCCUGCAUGUAGAUCUGCCUCCCGCCGAUCCUCCGGACUGCACACAGGUGGUGCAGGCAGGUGAGCAGCUGUGAGCUGUGCUGCAGGGGUCAGUGCUGCCUGCGACCGCAGGGCACCCCAGGUGACGACAGCCAGCCCUGACCCUGGGAAGAGCGGCCAGGAGGAACAGGUAUUUCUCAAACAAGAAUGGAUAGAGGAAGCUGCACCAGGUAGGAGGAGCCUCCUGAGCAGAAACAGAGAGGCCUGGAGGAGCUGCCUGCGGGCUGGGGUGGCCGCACAGAAAAGCAGAGGAGGACCUGGAGGCUGCAGCACUAGAGCCCUUUACAAACCUGACUUGGCUGCAGUGAGAUGUGUGAAGGCAGAAUCUGACAGUCCGAAAUGAUGAACAUGAUGGACAGUAACUAUGCAGUGUAGUAACAAACUCUAAAUCUAUUGAAAAAUUAAGGGGAAUUCCCAUGUUUUUGUAUGGAAUUGGGUUUUGAAUGAACCCAUUGAAGACACUGAAAUUCUUAAAAUAAAUGAACAAGCAUAGAACAGGCUGGGGUGGGCAUGGGAAGUGCUGUGUCCCCUGCCUGGAGACAUACGGGCUGUCCCUGAGCCCCACCCUGCCUCUGCCUGCCCUCACCUGCUGUCCUUCCUCCAGGAACGCCCUGUGUCUCUUCUUUACCAAGAUUCUGCUUACAUCCCAGACACAGGAAGAAGGCAGCCCUCAGAGCCAGGGGGCCUCCCCAGAGCCCACCACUGUGCCCACACCCUGAUCCUGGACGUCCAGCAUUGGAACUGUGGGAAUAAAUGUCUGCUAUUGGAGCCCCCGGCCUGUCAUGAAGCCCAGCCUAAGGCAAUGCUUACUAAAGAAGCUUCCCGUUUUACCCUCUGCACGCCUCUACUCCCGCGCCUGUGCGGUGGAAAUGCACUGAGGACGGCCGCCAUGCUCCUCCUCGCCCGACGCUCCCGGAAGUCCCCCUGGCAGCCUGAGGUCAGCAUCCCCGCGGGAAUAUUUACACCAUGGAGGCUGGCAAAUGCUGCCCAGCAGGACUUGUUUCCUUGUUUGGUUUUGUUGACUGUCUAAACUUACAGAAGUAAUGGAGGACAAAAUGUAAAAUAUGAAAUCAAAUGUAAAGGUGGCUCAUGUCUUUAGUCAUGUUAUUGUAAUGAGCACAAUGAACUGAGAAAAAAGUCUCCCUGUGUUGGAAAAAAUUCUCCCCUGUAUUGGAAAACUAUUAUGCAGUUCAGCAAAGAAGCCCUCACAUCACGGACAAAUGAGUCAAAUUCCGACUGUGUUCUUCUCGUCAAACUUUUGUGUCACUAACAUAAAUCAAAAUAUCAACCAACCUUCAUCUCAUUCAUAUUGAAAGUGAUUGUCAAUUGCAGCCAGAGGUUGGCUACAGAGUCAGGAGUUCAGCAAAUUCAAUAAAACAUUCUGAGGAUCAAUUGCUUGUGUGACAUUUACAAUAAAGAGUAUUGUAUAUUGUAUUAUUAUUUGUUGAUUAUGUGCCAAACAUCCCUUAUAUCAGUAGAACUUAUUUUUUAAAAAUAUGUAAGCAUAUGUGUGCAUAUAAUUUUUUCAGAGCGCUAGAUAUUUACCAGCACUCCUCUGCAUAAAAUACUAAUGAAUCAGACUUCACAAUUCAUUAAAAGUCAAAUCUACCAAUAUCAAAAUUGAUUUAUCAAAAAAGUAGGGUGGCUUACCUUAACAAUAUAUCUAUUAAUAUAGUAUAUGGCAUUAAUAGUUUAUUAGAAAGCCGUGUAGCCAGAUAAAUAGAUGUUACAAAGGCAAGCCCAUUAAUGUCUUCAUAUGUAAGAAUUAUGUAUCAUAAUUAUAAUAUAUAUUCAACUAGCAUAUAUCAUGAAUCUACAUAUUCAUAGCAUAUAUCAUGAAUUUAGCAUAUUCAAAAAUCUACUAAAGAGUAUAUACUUAACCUGGUAGGGAAUAUUUGCCCCAGCCCACCAAUCAACAUCAUCUAACAGCAGAACACCCGAGGUAUCCUUACUAAAAUCCAGGGACUCAAGGCACUUUCCAACAUUCCGCUCCGGCACAGCUGCGUUAAGGGGUAGGACUCCCCUAGAUUGGAGUUCAGCUUCUACCUUUGCUUCCGCCUGCCCUGUGGUUGGGGCAAGCUUUGGUUUGCUUGUUUUAGGAGUCUCUGAGGAUUAAAUCAGAUGACGUAUGUGAAGUAUUCCUUGCGGCCUCUUCUGUACUGUGAGAGCUAAAUACAUUAUGGACAGUGCAAUUCUGUGAGCCAGAAAUAAUUGGCAAAGUGACUGGGA
rnacentral:lncRNA from 10 species